GGUGUAACCUUUAGCUUUAGAUUUGACCACACACUCACCAAGACUUCAGCUUUAGUCAAUCAAAUGAGAAACACAGUUAUGAAACAAGUUCUUCUUGAAACAGAUUGUGAAAGUAGAAGAGAAAACAAAACAAGGCACUCAAGAUUGUUAAUCCAGUUACACCCGUUAACUAGGGUGUUAGUCUGGGCCGGGAACUGUCUCCCGGAAUCCACUAGAUCAGAGUUUACAAGUGUAUCUUAACCUCAAGGCCUUUGCAGUACCUAUCUCGGUUUAAACGUAGCUUACAAACUCUCAAGAACUCUCACAAGCUUAUACUUUGAAAAGAUGUUAUCUCUCUCUAUCUUGCUCAACCUCUCUCUCACUACUAAGACUCACUUACAUACUACUCUCACUUUAACCUAAAGAGUGCUUCGGAUGCUCCAGCUGGCCACGCUCCAUCCGUACGGACCAAUAAAGACACAACGUUAACUUCCUGAUGAGAAGCCGACAAACAGUUGUUUCUUUGCUUUAUCAGACUGAGACAAAAACAGCUCAUCUUGUGGUCCUUCAUCUUGAUAAGUCACGUGAGUAGUUCCAUGUCCUUAGUAGCUUGCUCUCCACGCCUAAACUUGUCUUCACAUUGUCUUGAUCUUCUUUACUAAAAAACUCAACAAAUCUCCACCUAGUAAAGACAGAUCAACAAGACUGACAUAGGCGAGUUGUCUUGAGAUGUAGAGGUAGGUGCCUGAUGUCUAGAUUUUGGAUUCCUGUUCCCGGAGCCUGAGCUUGAUUACUCAGACUUAACCCUCAGCAAGUCCAUUGCAGCUUUGAACUUACUGACUGGUAUAAUCUUCGUGAAGAUAUCCGCUGGGUUGAUCAAGGUAGAUAUCUUGGUAACCUUCAACAGCCCCUUCUCAAUGAUCUCUCUGAUCUUGUGAUACUUGGUGUCAACGUGUUUCGUUCUCUCAUGAUACACGUUGUUUUUGGAUAAUGCUAUCGCACUCUGAGAAUCACAGAAGACCUCAACACACUUCUGAUCAUAUCCAAAAUCCAUCAGUAAACCUUUUAGCCAUAACGCCUCUUUUUCUGCAUCGUUCAUCGCCAAGUACUCAGCCUCCGUGGUGGAGAGAGUUACUACUUUCUGCAGCCUUGAUCUCCAACUGAUGGUGUUUCCACCGAGUGUAAAUACUACUCCACUGAUUGACCUUCUCUUAUCUCGGUCAGCAGCAUAGUCGGAGUCACAGUAGCCUUUCAACACAAACUCAGACCCUUUCCUGUAACAGAGCUUCAUCUUCAAUGAUCCUCUGAUAUAUCUCAUGAUCCACUUUACUCCUAACCAAUGCUCCUUGAUAGGAUUUCCCAUGAAUCUGCUGACAAUUCCCACAGGAUAUGCCAAGUCUGGUCUUGUACAGAUCAUGGAGUACAUCAAACUCCCGACUGCAUUAGCAUACGGUACUGUCUUCAUGUAAUCUUCAUCAUCUCGCAGCUGUUCUUUAGUAGCAGAGCGAAACUUCAUAUGAGCACCCAGUGGUGUUACAACCUCUUUGGCUUGUUCCAUCUUAUAUGUCUCCAAAACCUUCUCCAUGUAACCUUCCUGAGAUAGCCAUAGUUUCCCAUUUGCUCUGUCUCUUCUGAUCUCAAUCCCAAGAAUUUUCUUUGCUGGACCGAGAUCUUUCAUCUCAAACUUCAUACUGAGUUGCUCCUUCAGCUCUAGGAUCAACUUCUUAUCUUUUGCAGCCACCAACAUGUCAUCAACAUAGAUUAGCAAAUAGACCUUUGCUCCAUCUUCACACGUCUUGACAUACACACAACUGUCCCUAUAGCUUCUUAUAAAGUUAAGUUCAGCCAUGAAUCCAUCAAACUUCUGAUUCCAUCUUCUUGGUGCCUGUUUCAAUCCGUACAAAGCUUUCUUCAACAAACAGACUUGACCUUUCUUGAACUGAUCUUCAUAUCCUUCAGGUAUCUCCAUGUAGAUCUUUUCAUCCAACUCUCCAUGUAGAAAAGCUGUUUUUACAUCAAGUUGUUCUAGUUCCAGAUCUUCUUCAACUACAAUGGCAAGAAGAAUCCUUAUAGAUACGUGUCUUAUCACUGGUGAGAAAAUCUCUGUGUAGUCUACCCCCUCCUUCUGAGAAUAGCCUUUUGCAACAAGGCGUGACUUGUGUCUUGGUUUCUCAACCCCUGGAAUCCCACUCUUCCUCUUGUAGAUCCAUUUACAGCCAAUCACCCGUUGUCCUUUUGGUCUGUUAACCACAAUCCAAGUGUGGUUUCUCAGUAGAGAAUCCAUUUCUUCAUCCAUUCCUCCUUUCCAAAAUUCCCAGUCUUCAUCAUCUAUAGCUUCAAGAUAGCUCGAUGGUUCUUUGAGAUCACCAUCCACCGUAGUGAUCAGAACCUCAGCAUCAAAACAGUCUUCUUCAUCGUCGGUGUCUUCACUGAAGUAACCUUCAAUAUCAAACCUUCUAGUGGCUCUGACUGUUCUUCGUUCUCUAUCUCUGACCAGAUGAUAGCUCUCAGGUGAUUCAUUUGUCUCAUCUUCCUGCGCUUGAUCAUUUUCAGAGUCAUGAUCAUCCUCAUCAUUCUGAUCACUAGUUUCUUGAUUUUCAACUUCAUGUUGAUCAGCUCCUGAGAUUUCGUUGUUACUCUGAGUAUCUCCACCUGAGGUGAUAUCUCCUUCCUCUCCAAGAUCAAUGUCAAAUACCAUUUCUGUAGAAUCAUGUUGCUCAUCUUCCUUUUGUUUCCCUUUCCGAAUGACAUCUUUAUAUACAGCAUUCUCUUGAAAAAUAACAUCUCUACUGAUUUGACAUUUCUUUUCCUCAAGCAGCCAUACCUUGUAACCUUUUACUCCGGAAGGAUAUCCUAAUAGAACUGCCUUCUUUGCUCUUGGAUUGAGCUUCCCGUCAUUUGUGUGACUGAAACAUACACAGCCAAAUCUCCUCAAGUAACUGUAUACUGGUGAUCUUCCCGUCCAUUUCUUGUCUGGAAUUUCAAAUUUUAUUGCAGAUGAAGGUGUCUUGUUGAUCAGUGUGACUGCAGUUUGAGUAGCUUCUGCCCAAAACAUCCUCGGUAGACCAGAGUCACUCAGCAUGCUUCUGACUUUCUCUAGAAUAGUGCGGUUCAUCCUCUCGGCCACGCCAUUUUGCUGAGGUGUGUAAGCACAUGUCCUGUGCCUUACAAUUCCUCUCUCUUUGCAGAAGUUAUCAAAUCUUGAGUUGCAGAACUCAAGACCAUUAUCUGUUCUUAGUACUUUCAGCUUCUUUUCUGUUUGAUUUUCAACCAUGAUACACCACUCUACAAACUUAUCAAACGCUUCAUCUUUAUGCUUCAAGAAGUAUACCCAUGUCUUUCUUGUGUAGUCAUCUAUGAACGAGAUGAAGUACUGACACUUCCCAAGCGAGAAUGGAACACUAGGUGCUCCCCAUAAGUCUGAGUGUACAUAAUCCAGCUUGUCUUUUGUAUCGUGAGUUGCAACAGAGAAGCUGACUUUCUUGGCUUUCCCGUAGACACAAUCUUCACACAUAUCAAACUCUGAGACCUUCUUCUUAUCAAGUAGACCCUUCUUCACCAGUAGACUGAGAUUCUUCUGACUCAUGUGUCCUAACCUUCGAUGCCACAAGAUAGUGUCAUCAUUCUUUCUUUCAGUUGCAUAAGACUGACCAACUUCAGGUUUUCCUUGAAGUAAAUACAGUUUGUCAUGUCGUUUUCCCUUUAAGACAGUCUUGUUAUCUUUAUGGAUGCUCAAGAUGCCUUCUUUUGACACAAAACUGUAUCCAAGCUCUUCCAUUGUCCCUACUGACAGCAAAUUUCGAUCCAUUUCUGGAAUGUACCUUACUCCAGUUAGCAGAAACAUGGAGCCAUCUUCAUUCUUGAUUCUUACUGUCCCAACGCCUCUGACCUUUGAAGUUGUCUUGUUUCCCAUGCGUACUGAUCCUCCACUGACAUCACUGAGUGUUUCAAACCACUCCUUCUUGUAUGUCAUGUGAUAGCUACAUCCAGUAUCCAAGACCCAUUCAUUCUCAAGAUUUAUAUCUGUUGAAUAAAGGGCUUCUAAAACAUAAAGACCUGUAGCUUCAUUCUUGUUAUCUUUCACCAUUGCAGCUUCUCCUCUGCUACUGCUCCCCUGGUGUUUUGGUUUGUUGUGGGUCUUGCCUUUGUUUGGACAAGAGCCCUUGAAGUGUCCUUCUUCACCACAAGACCAGCAUACCUUCCUGCCUCUCAACUUUGAGCGUGACUUAGACCUUGAGUUUCUGUCUCUAUUGUCUGAUCUUCCACGUUGGUCCCCUUUCUCUCUUGCAUACAAGCUUUCUGCUUCACCUUUAGACCCUUUGGAGUUUGACCCAUUCUCAAGUUCCUUUGUGUAUAUCGCUGCAACAACUUCAUCCAGAGUGAGAGUUAUUCUUCCUGUGCCAUACCUCAGAGUGUCUCUCAGUUGAUCGAACUGUCUUGGUAGAGACAUGAGGAGCAGUAUAGCUUGGUCUUCAUCGGGAACUUCAACAUCAAUGUUCUCUAGAUCUGUUAUAAGAUGCAGGAACUCAUCAAUGUUGCUCUCAAUGGACAGACUUUCAGACAUCCUAAACCCAUAGAGUUUCUGUUUGAGAUAGAAGCGGUUUGGGAGUGCUUUGGCAAGGUACAGCAUGUCUAAUGCCUUAAGCAUCCCUGCAGCGGUUUCUUCCUUUCUUAUCUUCCUCAGAACUCUGUUUGUGACGCUCAGAACUAUGGUACUUCUGGCCUUCUUGAUUUUCUCAGCUAAAGUUUCUUCCUUUUCUUCAGCCGCUUUCUUCUCUUCAGGUGUUUCAUCUGGAUCUUGAACUUUCUCUCUAACUUUGUCAGAUUCUUCUAAGGCUUUACUCAGCCCUUGAAGAUCCAUCUGAGCUAAGAGCUUAUCCUUCCAUAGCAUGUAGUCUCCAUGACCAUCGAACUUUUCCAGCUCAACUCUUGGCAAAGUCAUGGUCUUGAACGCAGACCAACUCAGAACCUGGAGCUCUGAUACCAAUAUGUGAGAAAUCUAGCCCCCCAAGGUGUAACCUUUAGCUUUAGAUUUGACCACACACUCACCAAGACUUCAGCUUUAGUCAAUCAAAUGAGAAACACAGUUAUGAAACAAGUUCUUCUUGAAACAGAUUGUGAAAGUACAAGAGAAAACAGAACAAGGCACUCAAGAUUGUUAACCCAGUUACACCCGUUAACUAGGGUGUUAGUCUGGGCCGGGAACUGUCUCCCGGAAUCCACUAGAUCAAAGUUUACAAGUGUAUUUUAACCUCAAGGCCUUUGCAGUACCUAUCUCGGUUUAAACGUAGCUUACAAACUCUCAAGAACUCUCACAAGCUUAUACUUUGAAAAGAUGUUC
rnacentral:lncRNA from 1 species